AGCUCUUAGAUGCGUGCCAACAUUGAUUCAGAAUUUAAUUUUUCAGGUAAUUACUACUUCCACAAACAUUAUAAAGAACCUUGCAUUUCUGUUCAUAUAUACAAGCAUUAAAAACGCUUUACUGGAAUGCUAUACUAUAGUCCCGCAUUGUUCAUAUACAUGUAUAUGAAGAAUGCUGGACUAAUGUUAUACCAUAUAUGUAACCAAUAUUUAAAGCAUGAGUAGGAGUGUGUACCAUCUAUCGUCUUCAUCCUCCUCUCAUCCGUACUUUCUAACAGUCCAUUUUACUUCAUUUGGGUGAUAGAGUGAGCCGUGUAGAGCUUCUGAUCAACCAUUUAGUAUUUUCUGUGAUCAGUUCAUGUUACUUUACAGUCAACUAAAUUUUAUGCCCUUUGCUUUCAUGCCAUGAUCAUCUUUUCCCAUCAAUAUAAACCGAUUCACUACAUGCUAGCGAACUGAUUAU